AACACAAAUUCGCAGCUCGGCGAACAGAACCACAACAAUUACCCUUCCUUACUUACUCAGAGGACGGUUUAAAUUCAACAAUAUUUCAGCGGCUCUGGACUCACAUGGAUGUCAGACCAGAUGGGACUGCAAACUCAGAAAUAGAGAAUGAACUUGGCCUGUGUUUUGGGCUCAAUGUGGGUGCUGUGUCAGCAUUGACACCGAAAGCUGUCUCAGGCUGCAGCCACACGAGCAAGGCCUACUUGGUUGACUCCAUACUAACAUGAAUGAACAUGUCUUGUUCAAGAUUUUUCCAAAUCCACCCGCGCUGUGCUAUUUUGAUCAGUGAUGUGCAGCUCCACG